rnacentral:rRNA from 1 species
GACUCGUCACACUAUCAUUAACUGAAUCCAUAGGUUAAUGAGGCGAACCGGGGGAACUGAAACAUCUAAGUACCCCGAGGAAAAGAAAUCAACCGAGAUUCCCCCAGUAGCGGCGAGCGAACGGGGAGGAGCCCAGAGCCUGAAUCAGCAUGUGUGUUAGUGGAAGCGUCUGGAAAGGCGCGCGAUACAGGGUGACAGCCCCGUACACAAAAGCGCAUGUGCUGUGAGCUCGAUGAGUAGGGCGGGACACGUGGUAUCCUGUCUGAAUAUGGGGGGACCAUCCUCCAAGGCUAAAUACUCCUGACUGACCGAUAGUGAACCAGUACCGUGAGGGAAAGGCGAAAAGAACCCCGGCGAGGGGAGUGAAAAAGAACCUGAAACCGUGUACGUACAAGCAGUGGGAGCACCCUUUGGGGUGUGACUGCGUACCUUUUGUAUAAUGGGUCAGCGACUUAUAUUCUGUAGCAAGGUUAACCGAAUAGGGGAGCCGGAGGGAAACCGAGUCUUAAUUGGGCGUUAAGUUGCAGGGUAUAGACCCGAAACCCGGUGAUCUAGCCAUGGGCAGGUUGAAGGUUGGGUAACACUAACUGGAGGACCGAACCGACUAAUGUUGAAAAAUUAGCGGAUGACCUGUGGCUGGGGGUGAAAGGCCAAUCAAACCGGGAGAUAGCUGGUUCUCCCCGAAAGCUAUUUAGGUAGCGCCUCGUGAAUUCAUCUCCGGGGGUAGAGCACUGUUUCGGCUAGGGGGCCAUCCCGGCUUACCAACCCGAUGCAAACUGCGAAUACCGGAGAAUGUUAUCACGGGAGACACACGGCGGGUGCUAACGUCCGUCGUGAAGAGGGAAACAACCCAGACCGCCAGCUAAGGUCCCAAAGUCAUGGUUAAGUGGGAAACGAUGUGGGAAGGCCCAGACAGCCAGGAUGUUGGCUUAGAAGCAGCCAUCAUUUAAAGAAAGCGUAAUAGCUCACUGGUCGAGUCGGCCUGCGCGGAAGAUGUAACGGGGCUAAACCAUGCACCGAAGCUGCGGCAGCGAACGUAUCACUUAAAGCGAUUCAGCGGGUUACGAUUGACGGAGCGAAGCGACGUCAAAGCGUAUACAAAGUCGAGUCGGUUUAAGGAUACGUUCGUUGGGUAGGGGAGCGUUCUGUAAGCCUGCGAAGGUGGCCUGUGAGGGUUGCUGGAGGUAUCAGAAGUGCGAAUGCUGACAUAAGUAACGAUAAAGCGGGUGAAAAGCCCGCUCGCCGGAAGACCAAGGGUUCCUGUCCAACGUUAAUCGGGGCAGGGUGAGUCGACCCCUAAGGCGAGGCCGAAAGGCGUAGUCGAUGGGAAACGGGUUAAUAUUCCCGUACUUGGUGUUACUGCGAAGGGGGGACGGAGAAGGCUAUGUUGGCCGGGCGACGGUUGUCCCGGUUUAAGCGUGUAGGUGUGUGUUCCAGGUAAAUCCGGUUCACUUUAACACUGAGGCGUGACGACGAGGCACUACGGUGCUGAAGCAACAAAUGCCCUGCUUCCAGGAAAAGCCUCUAAGCAUCAGGUAACAUCAAAUCGUACCCCAAACCGACACAGGUGGUCAGGUAGAGAAUACCAAGGCGCUUGAGAGAACUCGGGUGAAGGAACUAGGCAAAAUGGUGCCGUAACUUCGGGAGAAGGCACGCUGACACGUAGGUGAAGUGAUUUACUCACGGAGCUGAAGUCAGUCGAAGAUACCAGCUGGCUGCAACUGUUUAUUAAAAACACAGCACUGUGCAAACACGAAAGUGGACGUAUACGGUGUGACGCCUGCCCGGUGCCGGAAGGUUAAUUGAUGGGGUCAGCGCAAGCGAAGCUCCUGAUCGAAGCCCCGGUAAACGGCGGCCGUAACUAUAACGGUCCUAAGGUAGCGAAAUUCCUUGUCGGGUAAGUUCCGACCUGCACGAAUGGCGUAAUGAUGGCCAGGCUGUCUCCACCCGAGACUCAGUGAAAUUGAACUCGCUGUGAAGAUGCAGUGUACCCGCGGCAAGACGGAAAGACCCCGUGAACCUUUACUAUAGCUUGACACUGAACAUUGAGCCUUGAUGUGUAGGAUAGGUGGGAGGCUUUGAAGUGUGGACGCCAGUCUGCAUGGAGCCGACCUUGAAAUACCACCCUUUAAUGUUUGAUGUUCUAACGUGGACCCGUGAUCCGGGUUGCGGACAGUGUCUGGUGGGUAGUUUGACUGGGGCGGUCUCCUCCUAAAGAGUAACGGAGGAGCACGAAGGUUGGCUAAUCCUGGUCGGACAUCAGGAGGUUAGUGCAAUGGCAUAAGCCAGCUUGACUGCGAGCGUGACGGCGCGAGCAGGUGCGAAAGCAGGUCAUAGUGAUCCGGUGGUUCUGAAUGGAAGGGCCAUCGCUCAACGGAUAAAAGGUACUCCGGGGAUAACAGGCUGAUACCGCCCAAGAGUUCAUAUCGACGGCGGUGUUUGGCACCUCGAUGUCGGCUCAUCACAUCCUGGGGCUGAAGUAGGUCCCAAGGGUAUGGCUGUUCGCCAUUUAAAGUGGUACGCGAGCUGGGUUUAGAACGUCGUGAGACAGUUCGGUCCCUAUCUGCCGUGGGCGCUGGAGAACUGAGGGGGGCUGCUCCUAGUACGAGAGGACCGGAGUGGACGCAUCACUGGUGUUCGGGUUGUCAUGCCAAUGGCACUGCCCGGUAGCUAAAUGCGGAAGAGAUAAGUGCUGAAAGCAUCUAAGCACGAAACUUGCCCCGA